rnacentral:sRNA from 12 species
UGCACAUGUCCUUAAUAGAAACGGGUCCUAAUGCAUAGCAUAAACGGCCUGGAGGUUGAAAAGCGGAUGCAAUUUCCGGCAUGUGCG